UGUAUUGUGUAGAUAGAAAGUAGUACCUUUAUUUUUCUUUUUUAGAGAGUUCAGGUUGGGUGGAAGCUGAGCAUAGAAUUUAAAGGGAAGGCGUUCUGGAGCAAUUGUUAAAAAGUGGUUAUUCGAUGUAUGGAUGAAUAACAAAUAGGGUGGAACCGCGGAAAUCCCGUCCCUAUA
rnacentral:ncRNA from 2 species